UACGUAGGGGGCUAGCGUUGUCCGGAAUCAUUGGGCGUAAAGAGCAUGUAGGCGGUCCGGUAAGUCCGCUGUGAAAGUCGGGGGCUCAACCCUCGAAUGCCGGUGGAUACUGUCGGGCUAGAGUGCGGAAGAGGCGAGUGGAAUUCCUGGUGUAGCGGUGAAAUGCGCAGAUAUCAGGAGGAACACCUAUUGCGAAGGCAGCUCGCUGGGACGUAACUGACGCUGAGACGCGAAAGCGUGGGGAGCAAACAGG
rnacentral:rRNA from 1 species